rnacentral:rRNA from 1 species
UACGGGGGGGGGCAAGCGUUGUUCGGAAUUACUGGGCGUAAAGGGCUCGUAGGCGGCCAACUAAGUCGGAUGUGAAAUCCCCAGGCUCAACUUGGGAACUGCAUCCGAUACUGGGGGGCUUGAAUCCGGGAGAGGGAUGUGGAAUUCCAGGUGUAGCGGUGAAAUGCGUAGAUAUCUGGAGGAACACCGGUGGCGAAGGCGGCAUCCUGGACCGGUAUUGACGCUGAGGCGCGAAAGCCAGGGGAGCAAAGCGGG